rnacentral:rRNA from 1 species
CCUACGGGUGGCAGCAGUGGGGAAUAUUGCACAAUGGGGGAAACCCUGAUGCAGCAACGCCGCGUGAGUGAAGAAGGUUCUCGGAUUGUUAAGCUCUGUUAGUAGGGAAGCGGAAGGACGGUACCUGCAGAGGAAGCCACGGCUAACUACGUGCCAGCAGCCGCGGUAAUACGUAGGUGGCAAGCGUUGUUUGGAAUAACUGGGCGUAAAGGAUGCGUAGGCGGGUAAACGAGUUAUAUGUUAAAUAUAUAGGCUUAACCUGCAGAAAGCAUAUAAAACUGUUUGACUAGAGUGCAGGAGGGGGAAGGGGAAUUCCCAGUGGAGCGGUGAAAUGCGUAGAGAUUGAGAAGAACACUAGUGGCGAAGGCGAGUUACUGGACUUUAACUGACGCUGAGGCAUGAAGGCAAGGGGAGCGAAAAGGAUUAGAUACCCGUGUAGUC